rnacentral:tRNA from 1 species
GGGAAUAUAGCUCAGGGGUGGAGUGUUUGCCUCCUGUGCAUGAAGCUCUGGGUUCAAUCCCCAGCACUUCAU